rnacentral:rRNA from 1 species
GGAAUAUUGGACAAUGGGCGAAAGCCUGAUCCAGCAAUGCCGCGUGAGUGAUGAAGGCCUUAGGGUUGUAAAGCUCUCUUACUGGGGAUGAUAAUGACAGUACCCAGAGAAUAAGCUCGUGCUAACUCCGUGCCAGCAGCCGCGGUAAUACGGAGGGAGCUAGCGUUGUUCGGAAUUACUGGGCGUAAAGCGCGCGUAGGCGGUCUAUUAAGUCAGGGGUGAAAUCCCGGGGCUCAACCCCGGAACUGCCCUUGAAACUGCUAGACUAGAAUCUUGGAGAGGCGAGUGGAAUUCCGAGUGUAGAGGUGAAAUUCGUAGAUAUUCGGAAGAACACCAGUGGCGAAGGCGACUCGCUGGACAAGUAUUGACGCUGAGGUGCGAAAGCGUGGGGAGCAAAC